CCCUUAGAUGUUCUGGGCCGCACGCGCGCCACAAUGGCAAACUCAGCGAGUCUCCUUUACCGACAGGUAUAGGAAAUCUUUUCAGUGUUUGCCGUGAUGGGGCUAGACCCUUGUAAUUAUUGGUCUCCAACGAGGAAUUCCUAGUAAACGCAGGUCAUUAACCUGCAUUGAUUACGUCCCUGCCCUUUGUACACACCGCCCGUCGCACCUACCGAUUGAAUGGUCCGGUGAAGUCUCCGGACUGAGUACUUUUAGUACUUGGGAAGUUGACUAAACCUUACCAUUUAGAGGAAGGUGAAGUCGUAACA
rnacentral:rRNA from 1 species